UUAAGCGACUAAGCGUACACGGUGGAUGCCCUGGCAGUCAGAGGCGAUGAAGGACGUGCUAAUCUGCGAUAAGCGUCGGUAAGGUGAUAUGAACCGUUAUAACCGGCGAUUUCCGAAUGGGGAAACCCAGUGUGUUUCGACACACUAUCAUUAACUGAAUCCAUAGGUUAAUGAGGCGAACCGGGGGAACUGAAACAUCUAAGUACCCCGAGGAAAAGAAAUCAACCGAGAUUCCCCCAGUAGCGGCGAGCGAACGGGGAGCAGCCCAGAGCCUGAAUCAGUGUGUGUGUUAGUGGAAGCGUCUGGAAAGGCGCGCGAUACAGGGUGACAGCCCCGUACACAAAAAUGCACAUAUUGUGAGCUCGAUGAGUAGGGCGGGACACGUGGUAUCCUGUCUGAAUAUGGGGGGACCAUCCUCCAAGGCUAAAUACUCCUGACUGACCGAUAGUGAACCAGUACCGUGAGGGAAAGGCGAAAAGAACCCCGGCGAGGGGAGUGAAAAAGAACCUGAAACCGUGUACGUACAAGCAGUGGGAGCCUCUUUUAUGGGGUGACUGCGUACCUUUUGUAUAAUGGGUCAGCGACUUAUAUUCUGUAGCAAGGUUAACCGAAUAGGGGAGCCGAAGGGAAACCGAGUCUUAACUGGGCGUUAAGUUGCAGGGUAUAGACCCGAAACCCGGUGAUCUAGCCAUGGGCAGGUUGAAGGUUGGGUAACACUAACUGGAGGACCGAACCGACUAAUGUUGAAAAAUUAGCGGAUGACUUGUGGCUGGGGGUGAAAGGCCAAUCAAACCGGGAGAUAGCUGGUUCUCCCCGAAAGCUAUUUAGGUAGCGCCUCGUGAAUUCAUCUCCGGGGGUAGAGCACUGUUUCGGCAAGGGGGUCAUCCCGACUUACCAACCCGAUGCAAACUGCGAAUACCGGAGAAUGUUAUCACGGGAGACACACGGCGGGUGCUAACGUCCGUCGUGAAGAGGGAAACAACCCAGACCGCCAGCUAAGGUCCCAAAGUCAUGGUUAAGUGGGAAACGAUGUGGGAAGGCCCAGACAGCCAGGAUGUUGGCUUAGAAGCAGCCAUCAUUUAAAGAAAGCGUAAUAGCUCACUGGUCGAGUCGGCCUGCGCGGAAGAUGUAACGGGGCUAAACCAUGCACCGAAGCUGCGGCAGCGACACUAUGUGUUGUUGGGUAGGGGAGCGUUCUGUAAGCCUGUGAAGGUGUGCUGUGAGGCAUGCUGGAGGUAUCAGAAGUGCGAAUGCUGACAUAAGUAACGAUAAAGCGGGUGAAAAGCCCGCUCGCCGGAAGACCAAGGGUUCCUGUCCAACGUUAAUCGGGGCAGGGUGAGUCGACCCCUAAGGCGAGGCCGAAAGGCGUAGUCGAUGGGAAACAGGUUAAUAUUCCUGUACUUGGUGUUACUGCGAAGGGGGGACGGAGAAGGCUAUGUUGGCCGGGCGACGGUUGUCCCGGUUUAAGCGUGUAGGCUGGUUUUCCAGGCAAAUCCGGAAAAUCAAGGCUGAGGCGUGAUGACGAGGCACUACGGUGCUGAAGCAACAAAUGCCCUGCUUCCAGGAAAAGCCUCUAAGCAUCAGGUAACAUCAAAUCGUACCCCAAACCGACACAGGUGGUCAGGUAGAGAAUACCAAGGCGCUUGAGAGAACUCGGGUGAAGGAACUAGGCAAAAUGGUGCCGUAACUUCGGGAGAAGGCACGCUGAUAUGUAGGUGAAGCGACUUGCUCGUGGAGCUGAAAUCAGUCGAAGAUACCAGCUGGCUGCAACUGUUUAUUAAAAACACAGCACUGUGCAAACACGAAAGUGGACGUAUACGGUGUGACGCCUGCCCGGUGCCGGAAGGUUAAUUGAUGGGGUUAGCGCAAGCGAAGCUCUUGAUCGAAGCCCCGGUAAACGGCGGCCGUAACUAUAACGGUCCUAAGGUAGCGAAAUUCCUUGUCGGGUAAGUUCCGACCUGCACGAAUGGCGUAAUGAUGGCCAGGCUGUCUCCACCCGAGACUCAGUGAAAUUGAACUCGCUGUGAAGAUGCAGUGUACCCGCGGCAAGACGGAAAGACCCCGUGAACCUUUACUAUAGCUUGACACUGAACAUUGAGCCUUGAUGUGUAGGAUAGGUGGGAGGCUUUGAAGUGUGGACGCCAGUCUGCAUGGAGCCGACCUUGAAAUACCACCCUUUAAUGUUUGAUGUUCUAACGUUGACCCGUGAUCCGGGUUGCGGACAGUGUCUGGUGGGUAGUUUGACUGGGGCGGUCUCCUCCUAAAGAGUAACGGAGGAGCACGAAGGUUGGCUAAUCCUGGUCGGACAUCAGGAGGUUAGUGCAAUGGCAUAAGCCAGCUUGACUGCGAGCGUGACGGCGCGAGCAGGUGCGAAAGCAGGUCAUAGUGAUCCGGUGGUUCUGAAUGGAAGGGCCAUCGCUCAACGGAUAAAAGGUACUCCGGGGAUAACAGGCUGAUACCGCCCAAGAGUUCAUAUCGACGGCGGUGUUUGGCACCUCGAUGUCGGCUCAUCACAUCCUGGGGCUGAAGUAGGUCCCAAGGGUAUGGCUGUUCGCCAUUUAAAGUGGUACGCGAGCUGGGUUUAGAACGUCGUGAGACAGUUCGGUCCCUAUCUGCCGUGGGCGCUGGAGAACUGAGGGGGGCUGCUCCUAGUACGAGAGGACCGGAGUGGACGCAUCACUGGUGUUCGGGUUGUCAUGCCAAUGGCACUGCCCGGUAGCUAAAUGCGGAAGAGAUAAGUGCUGAAAGCAUCUAAGCACGAAACUUGCCCCGAGAUGAGUUCUCCCUGACCCUUUAAGGGUCCUGAAGGAACGUUGAAGACGACGACGUUGAUAGGCCGGGUGUGUAAGCGCAGCGAUGCGUUGAGCUAACCGGUACUAAUGAACCGUGAGGCUUAACCUU
rnacentral:rRNA from 1 species